UGUACGCAAGAAGGAAGGAGGAAAGGGAGGGAGGGAAGAUAAAAGGGGCUCCUAGACUUCAUAAAUCAUGUUCAUACUUCCAUUUAAUGUAAUAAUGGUCAGAUGGGUAGCCCUGCAUUUCUCCCUAUGUGCAAAAGUAGGGGAGCUGUACAUCAUCAUUGACUGUUGACCACUGCAAGAUCUAAUUUCAGGCACAUUUAAAAUACUGGCCUUCUUUAAAAAUAUCAUUAUUCCCCAAAUGUAUAAAAACAAACUUACUACACUGUCUGAAGGAUAUGUUAUUAUUUCAAAUCAUUGUUCUGCUUUAGAUAAAUCCAAUGUAUUACAGUGUGCAAUUUUUUGUGUUACAUCUGAAAUACUUUUUGUAGUUUUAUUGGUUCCUGAAGAAAAAUAUAACUCUUCUCUCACUAACUAUAAGAACAUAUUAUACCUUAAUUAAAACAACUUAUUGUUCAUAUUUUGGCAGGAAACUCCUCUCAAGAAAUCCUAAAACUAAGAAGUUUUCAUCCGGUGAUCAAUUCCAAAGACUCUGUGAUGCUUUCUUUGUGCUGUUGAUAUUAAUUUCCCAGAGAUUUUUAAGUUUCUUUGUCCUAAAAACUCAUCAAGAUUUGAGCAUGCUUAAACAAAAGGGAGCACCCACACACAUGAAAGCAUCUUUUAACAUUGCCAGUGAGCAGACGGAUGUAGAAAGAAUUAACAGCAGAAAAGAACAGAAGGACUCUGAAUUCAAAGACUUAAACCAGCAGGUACGGACAGAUUCAUGGUUUACCAAGCCUAGACCAGUAUUUUGGAACAGCAGGUAGAGAGAUGACAUGAUUCAGAAGAAGCUUGAAGCAGAAGAGGACAUUUUUAUUUUAAAUAAAUGGUAAUAUUAAAAGGGUAAUAUCCUUGAAUUAAUGAUGGACACGUACUAAAUUAACUUAUUUAGGAGAAUUAACUUGCAUUUUUUUUAGUCUCCAUUUUGUUUAUAUUUUCCUCAUUCUUAGAAGCAUGAAAAUCCAAUUCUUUUUUACCCUGCUGAUUUUUUGACAUUUUCCAUUUGGCAAAAAGGAAUUUCUCUCCCUCUCUGGUGUUUCUAAUGGACCUGAAACCCAUGUGAUUAACAUGGCUUCCUUCCUCACGCUAGGCUUGGCAUCAAUAUCACUUUCAGAAUUAAUAUGUGUAUCUCCUGAGAGCAAGCACUAAUUUCUAGGAGUUCUAGCUAAAAAGCUAUUAUAAAUGGCUACUGUUACUGGGCAUGAGAGCUAAGUGGAAAAGAAAAUAUUUUGGGUGCUUGAAUCUUUGCUUUUAAAUUAUUCAGAAAAAAUUAAACUUAUGUUAUUGGAAUACCAAGAUCAAGUUAUGGACUUCUUCCUCUUCAGGGGGCAAUACUUCUCCUGACUGAGUACAAAUGAGCAAUAUUUCAAGCUUUCUAAUCUGCUACAUAUUAGAAUCACCAGGGGAACUU
rnacentral:lncRNA from 1 species